UACUUAGAUUGCCAGUGUCGCCACAGAGUU
rnacentral:sRNA from 1 species